rnacentral:rRNA from 1 species
UACGAAGGGGGCUAGCGUUGUUCGGAAUUACUGGGCGUAAAGGGCGCGUAGGCGGCUCUGUGCGUCGAGCGUGAAAGGCCUGGGCUCAACCCGGGAAUGGCGCUCGAUACGAUGGGGCUAGAGUGCAGGAGAGGAUGGUGGAAUUCCCAGUGUAGAGGUGAAAUUCGUAGAUAUUGGGAAGAACACCGGUGGCGAAGGCGGCCAUCUGGACUGCAACUGACGCUGAGGCGCGAAAGCGUGGGGAGCAAACAGGAUUAGAUACCCUGGUAGUCCACGCUGUAAACGAUGUGCGCUAGACGUUGGCGGACCUAGUUCGCCGGUGUCGCAGCUAACGCAUUAAGCGCACCGCCUGGGGAGUACGGCCGCAAGGUUA